ensembl:lncRNA
GGGCAGGUGUAAGACAUUAGGCUGGCUGAAUUCGCUCAGUCGUGUCUGACUCUUUGCGACCCUACAGACUAUAGUCCACCAGGCUCCUCCGUCCAUGGGAUUCUCCAGGCAAGAAUACUGGAGUGGGUUGCCAUUUUCUCCUCCAGGGGAUCUUCCUGACCCAGGGAUCGAACCUAGGUCUCCUGCAUUGCAGGCAGACGCUUUAACCACCAAGCCACCAAUUGCAAAGUCCAGGCAAGAAGCGAUGAGGGUCUGGAUUAGUGCAAAGAAGGUGGUAAACAAGAGAAGGAUGGCUGGAGAAAAAUUCUUCCACCCUGUGCUGAAGACAAUGUACCCACCUUCUACC